GAUCUCAAAUCAGGUAGGACUCACCCGCUGAACUUAAGCCAUAUCAAUAAGCGGAGGA
rnacentral:rRNA from 1 species